rnacentral:rRNA from 1 species
UCCAGACUCCUACGGGAGGCAGCAGUGGGGAAUAUUGGACAAUGGGGGAAACCCUGAUCCAGCGACGCCGCGUGAGUGAAGAAGUAUUUCGGUACGUAAAGCUCUAUCAGCAGGAAAGAAAAUGACAGUACCUGACCAAGAAGCCCCGGCUAACUACGUGCCAGCAGCCGCGGUAAUACGUAGGGGGCAAGCGUUAUCCGGAUUUACUGGGUGUAAAGGGAGCGCAGGCGGUAUGGCAAGUCAGAUGUGAAAACCCAGGGCCCAACCCUGGGACUGCAUUUGAAACUGCCAUACUGGAGUGCCGGAGAGGUAAGUGGAAUUCCUAGUGUAGCGGUGAAAUGCGUAGAUAUUAGGAGGAACACCAGUGGCGAAGGCGGCUUACUGGACGGUAACUGACGCUGAGGCUCGAAAGCGUGGGGAGCAAACAGGAUUAGAUACCCUAGUA